rnacentral:lncRNA from 1 species
CCCUUCUGCCAAAACAAAUCUCAAUUUUUCGGAAAACAUUUGAAAUACUCUGUAGAGCCUCCAGGAUUACUUGGACAUGUCUUCCCAUUUGAAAAUUUCUGUAUUCGGUCCUGUCUUUCAUGUAUUGUCAAAAUAUUAAUUUACAUGUAUAUAUAUAAGAAUUGCACUUCCAAUUUUCAUCAGGACGCAAAAAUAAGCCAACUUGAAGGUUCUGUGUUGAAGGCCGUAUUGUAAAAUAAUACUGCUUACUUUAACUUCAUUGUCUUGGAUGGAGAGUUGUCUCAUUGGGCACUCGUACCCACAUCUUCUUAUUUGUGUACUAGUGUUGUACUCAUGUUGUUUUUGUAUCAGGAUUAUAUGUUCUACUAACCUCUAGUUUUCAGUAAGUGUUUAUUUC